rnacentral:rRNA from 1 species
AUACAGGGGGUGCAAGCGUUAAUCGGAUUGACUGGGCGUAAAGGGUGCGUAGGUGGUUAUUUAAGUUAGAUGUGAAAUAUCCGGGCUUAACCUGGAGGGGUCAUCUAAAACUGGAUAACUAGAGUUCACUAGAGGGUAGUGGAAUUUCCGGAGUAGCGGUGAAAUGCGUAGAUAUCGGAAGGAACACCAGUGGCGAAGGCGGCUAUCUGGAGUUGAACUGACACUGAGGCACGAAAGCGUGGGUAGCGAACAGGAUUAGAUACCCUGGUAGUCCACGCUGUAAACGAUGAAUACUAGCUGUUGGAUAGCGACGACUAUUUAGUAGCGCAGUUAACACGAUAAGUAUUCCGCCUGGGGAUUACGGUCGCAAGAUUAAA